rfam:Schistosoma rodhaini strain Burundi genome assembly, scaffold: SROB_scaffold0001391
CUGUCAAUGAGGAGUCCCAAAAUAGGACGAAACGGCCGUCCAGUGCUUAUAG